CUGGGCUUCAUCUCUGAGGAACUACCUCCAUUCCUCUUCCCUAGGCUCGCUCUUGGAAGCGACCUGCCGCAGGCGCGCAAUUGAUGCUCGCCCUUCCUCUCUCUCUCUCUCUCUCUCUCUGCGAAGCAUCCGAGCCUUGGGUGCGUGGGAGGGGCGGGCCGAAAUAUCGCGGGUCCUUCUUGGAAAAUUAGCCCGGCACCAAGGAUGGGAAGAAAGAAAAAAGAAAAGAGAAAGUUUCACGCACGCACAUCCAUCGUUGACUAAUCUAUUAUGACAAACAAUAUGAUGGAUAUAGCUUAUGUUAAUCGUCCUGGCCUUUCCUCUAGAAUUUAACUGUCAGUUAAUGGACACCGGAAACUGGAAUUCUACAUGGCUCGCUAAUGGGUUUAGGUAUUAGCUAGUUCUAACGAUGCAUACAAAUGCACUUGUCUCUGUGGGCUGCCUUAAGAUUUAUGGCUCUCUUUUGCCUUCGGUAGCUGUAAACAAGGAGAGGAAAACAGAGGAAAGAUAUCCCAGCUUUGCCGCACUUUCUGCCGCUUAAGGAGCUCUUUCGCCAGAUUUGAUUUCCUCCGGAGUUCUUGGACAAGAUCCAAAGCCGUCCGGAGUUUUCGGACCACGCGGCCCGUUGGGGUUGGUGAAAGGAGACGAAGGAAGCCGGUAGUACCGCCCGAGGAAAGAAUAUGUGGAUGGGUUGUUUUGUUUUUGUUUUGUUUUUAAAACCCUGACCUGGCAAACUGGAUAGAACGAUUCACAAUUGGAGACGCGCGCGGAGGUGUGGCGUUUGUGUUUCUGUUUCUAGCAUUUGAUCAGGGCAAACCAACCCACGAAUAUCCUCUUCCUCGGAAAGUGGAAAAAUGUAUCAAGAAUGGAACAUUCCUGGGGGACUGGGGAUAGGGAACAAGGUGAAACAGAAUGGAAAGGGUAUAAAAUGCUUUGGGAGAUGUGCCACUCAUUCCAAGGGACUCUUGCUGCUUUGCAACAUUCACUUGGAGAUCCAUAACAUACUUAAAACUCCAAGUCAACCUUUUUCCUAUUUAUUACUGUGCAUAAUUCAACAUUAUUGCAGAUUAAUAAGCCAAUAAUGAUCAUCUCAAUAGGGAAAGUAUACUAGCCAGGCUGCUUUUAUGGCCACCCUUAUCUUUUCUAAUGACCUUUAAAGUAAUAACUCAUUACAAAAUGAGCAAUUGUCUGGAGUGCCUUUAAUUUUUCCUUUCUUUUUCUCUUUCUCUCUUACUUUCUUUGCUCUUCUUCCCUCCCUCCCGUUUACACACUCUGCUUUCAAGAUCUGCCCAGUAUACAUUUUAACUUAGUUUCCACCAAAAAAAAAGGAUAAUAAUUCAAAGGAGACCUUCUCCAGCUCUGUUUGCAACAGUGGUUAGAAGGACAAUUUUUCAAGCUUUCUUGACUGAGCCAGUCAUUUUAUGUGUCUCUCUAACAGCAACAACAAUGCUUUACUUCUACUGUGAUUAAAGAUCCUUGUAACGGCUCUCUUCAGAGAACUUUUAAUUGCUGUUUUAGACCAUAAGGGAGAUCAGAGAUGUUAAGUUGGAUUAUUGAUCUGGAACUCAGGGAGAUCCAAGGACAAGAUCCUACUCAGCCAUGGAACUUAAUUGGGUGAGCUGAAGCUAACCACUAAUGAUUUAGCAAGGAUGAAUUGGGGAAAGGUAUUUGAACUGAUAUAAAGAGUAUUGAGCCCUUCAUGCCAAGAUACAGAAGUAUUGCAUAAAUAAAGAAAUGUUUUUGUUGCAGAAAAUUAUGUGCCCAAUUUAAAUAAUGUGCAUUUUUAGUAGGAAAUAAAUCUCUUGGUACGGAGACAUUUCUUAAGGUGGGCUUAUUUAUAGCUGAAAUUGUAAAACUGUUUUCUAAGAUUUGCAAACUGAAUGGUUUCUUGGCAAAUACUGCCAUAUCUCAAUGGAAAUUGCAACAAGGAGUGGGCAUGAAUUUCUUUAAUCUCCUAGGUACUGUGUCUCUUUAAUGAAUUGCUUCCAACUGUAUUACUGGCAGCUUUUAAAGUAAAACAUAGCCAUCCUGCUUUAGAACUUUAGAUUUCAAUUGCCGUAUACAUACAUACAUACUGACUGACUGGAAAUCAGGCUAAUGUGUUUCUUGUACAUGUUUUGAAUGAAAGCAUGCUUUGAUUUUACCAGAUAUAGGCAUGAGGUUUGCUUCUAAUAGAUAUUUCAGAAUAGAGAUAGUAAUAAAUAGGAAGGGAAGAGAUCACUUUAGGCCUUCCCUAUCUGUAUAAUUUUGUAGGUUACCCAAUUGCAAAACAAAAACUAGAUUCAUUCAAUAGGCUAUCGGUAUGGAAGCCAUCCAUUAUUAUAUCCUUGCACCAUUCUCUCUAUAACCAAAUUGAAAAAACAAAACAAAACAUAAGGAACUCAGAAUAUGGCAACUGUUCCCAUAAUUUGCUUAGCAUUGGUUUCCCAAAUUGGGUUUUUUUUUUAAAAAAAAAAACCACAGGAAAAUUUGGAACCAUUACAGUAUGCAAGACAAUAGAAAAAUUCUUAUUAAUUAUGUGAUCCUGAGAUUAAAAACAAGUAUUUUAUCUUAAAACAUCUGUGAUGUUUUAGCAUCUGCAAAAGCAGACUUUUGCUCAACUGAAUUGCUUUGCUAACUUAAUUUGUGAUGCAAAUGAAAAUCAGAUGCAUAAAAUCUGUAGUUAGGAGGGUUAAACAUCCAGUUUGAAACGGUUGGAUCAGAGCAGGUGAAAAAUAUAUUUCAGUGGACUUGAACGUUUCCCAUAUCCGUGUGAAUUUGCUGCUACCCUAUUCUAUGAUGUGUGGAGUAAAAUAUUAAUCAUGAGAGGAUGAUCUAAUGUGCAGAGAUCGCUGUCCCAUAUACUGUAGCUGGAAUUGGCUGCAUAAUUCCAAGCAUCCUGUCAUGAAAUCCUUUGUUGUUGUUGUUGUUGUUUGAAAUAGGUAUAAUAAAAUGAAUCCAAAAAAAGCAAAGAUCUUGUUGCUGCUUUUUAAAGGUGGAGCACUUUCUGGUGGGGUGUAUAUGGUUACAUAGCAUGUUCAUGCAGCAAAGGUGUCAACUAAUGGAUAGCUCACCAAAGUAGCAUCAAUACUACUGCUAAAAGAGGACCAAUCCUAGGAAGUGCUGCAGAGUCUUUAAAAAUAACGCAAAGGUUGCUGUGGAUUUCAGAUGGAUACAACUAAAGAUCAAGUUGUUUGAGCCAUGCAGAAAAGCCAUAGAGAACUGCAGCCAUAUUUAAAAUGCAGAGGAGCUUUCACACCGACAGUAGAUUGAAGACUUAUUCUGUCACAUAAGCAUUUCAGAGCAAUCCUUCUCAUUCAGGAGAAUGAGUUUCACUAGUCAGCCCCCAAACUAUUCAGCCCAGGGUGUCUUCUUUCCCUGUGGUGGGCUGAUGAGGUUGAGGCAAGUCAACAUGAAUGAAUACUUGCGGGUGGA